AACCCGGUGUUUUUUAACACCACCGCAGAUUUAAAGGAUGUACUUA
rfam:Volvox carteri f. nagariensis unplaced genomic scaffold VOLCAscaffold_33, whole genome shotgun sequence.